UCUCCGUUGGUGAACCAGCGGAGGGAUCAUUACAGGACUCGCAAGACUCCUACAACCCUGUGAACUUAACUAUAAGCACGUUGCUUCGGCGGGUGUCUCGGAGGGGGUUCUCCCUCCCCGAGACGCUAAACCCGCCGGCAGCCUACUAUACUCUGUCUCUUUGCGUUGGCAUCUCGAGUACAAUCAAACAAGUUAAAACUUUCAACAACGGAUCUCUUGGUUCUGGCAUCGAUGAAAAACGCAGC
rnacentral:misc_RNA from 1 species